AGGAUGUACGAAGCAGCGAAGCCGUGCCAAGGAGGGCACGUCUGAGCGGUAGCGUCAGUUACCAUAAUUUAUAUGUAAAGACUUAGAAAUAUCCAAUCAAAUCUUCUG
rfam:Eubacterium sp. CAG:252 genomic scaffold, scf240